ACCAACGGACGACGUUGGAUGGCGCGCGCCAAGUUUCCCCAAGAACGGAAAGUUUUCGUUUUGAGGGACGCAGAGACAGGGGUCGGGCAAUAAGUAAAGAGGAAAAAACACCUGACCUCACGUACAAUGAUACCUCAAAUGCGCAAGCAGUACCUACGUGUGUGCCUUCAGAGGUGUCUGGGAGCACAUCAUAUUCCCAUAAAUAGCACAGACAUUGAUAUGGAAAAGAUCAGUGAAUAGUGGAAGUCGAUUGUGCACACUGACGGUGAGAAUCUCUCUUGAUGUUUUGACUUGGUGCAGAGGAGCUAAACUACCCAUUCCACGGUUGCCUAGUCCAUAGUGCGACAGCGCGAAAAAUGAGGGAGACACAGGAGGUUUUGAUGCAACAUACAGACGUGUAUGUGUGCCUCACUUGCUACAAGCCUCAUCAUACCAAACAAGGAGCCUUGACCUGUUGUCGAAAGCAAGGCUGAGAAGGCCGCUCUCGGACUGUUCGUUCCAAUGAACCUCGAAGACCUUCGUAUUCACUCCAUUAGACUGAUGUCACGUGACCUGUAGAGUACAAGAGCUGAAUAUCAAGUUAAAUAUGAAAUACAAAGUAAAUCGUAGGAUUA